AUGAACGCUGGCGGCGCGCCUAACACAUGCAAGUCGAACGAUUAAAGCACCUUCGGGUGUGUAUAAAGUGGCGAACGGCUGAGUAACACGUGGGCAACCUGCCCCUUUCAUUGGGAUAGCCACGGGAAACCGUGGAUAAUACCGAAUACUUCGAGACUUCCGCAUGGAAGACUCGAGAAAGCUCCGGCGGAGAGGGAUGGGCCCGCGGCCUGUUAGCUUGUUGGUGGGGUAACGGCCUACCAAGGCAAUGAUGGGUAGCUGGGUUGAGAGACCGACCAGCCAGAUUGCGACUGAGACACGGCCCAGACUCCUACGGGAGGCAGCAGUGGGGAAUCUUGCACAAUGGGCGAAAGCCUGAUGCAGCGACGCCGCGUGCGGGAUGAAGGCCUUCGGGUUGUAAACCGCUUUCAGCAGGGACGAGGCGAAAGUGACGGUACCUGCAGAAGAAGCCCCGGCUAACUACGUG
rnacentral:rRNA from 1 species